ACGGAAGGCAGCAGUGGGGAAUAUUGCACAAUGGGGGAAACCCUGAUGCAGCGACGCCGCGUGAGUGAAGAAGUAUUUCGGUAUGUAAAGCUCUAUCAGCAGGAAAGAAAAUGACGGUACCUGACUAAGAAGCCCCGGCUAACUACGUGCCAGCGGCCGCGGUAAUACGUAGGGGGCAAGCGUUAUCCGGAUUUACUGGGUGUAAAGGGAGCGUAGACGGCUUUGCAAGUCUGAAGUGAAAGCCCGGGGCUCAACCCCGGAACUGCUUUGGAAACUGUAGAGCUAGAGUGCAGGAGAGGUAAGUGGAAUUCCUAGUGUAGCGGUGAAAUGCGUAGAUAUUAGGAGGAACACCAGUGGCGAAGGCGGCUUACUGGACUGUAACUGACGUUGAGGCUCGAAGGCGUGGGGAGCAAACAGGAUUAGAUACCCUGGUA
rnacentral:rRNA from 1 species